rnacentral:rRNA from 1 species
GACGAGGGAUCCUAGCGUUGUUCGGAAUCAUUGGGCGUAAAGCGGGUGUAGGUGGCUUUGUAAGUCAGGUGUGAAAGCCCAGGGCUCAACCCUGGAAGUGCAUUUGAUACUGCGAAGCUUGAGUGCUGGAGAGGUAAGUAGAAUUCCUGGUGUAGUGGUGAAAUACGUAGAUAUCAGGAGGAAUACCGGAGGCGAAGGCGGCUUACUAGCCAGACACUGACACUCAGACCCGAAAGCGUGGGGAGCAAACAGG